rnacentral:rRNA from 1 species
GAACGCUGGCGGCGUGCCUAAUACAUGCAAGUCGAGCGAACGGACGAGAAGCUUGCUUCUCUGAUGUUAGCGGCGGACGGGUGAGUAACACGUGGAUAACCUACCUAUAAGACUGGGAUAACUUCGGGAAACCGGAGCUAAUACCGGAUAAUAUUUUGAACCGCAUGGUUCAAAAGUGAAAGACGGUCUUGCUGUCACUUAUAGAUGGAUCCGCGCUGCAUUAGCUAGUUGGUAAGGUAACGGCUUACCAAGGCAACGAUGCAUAGCCGACCUGAGAGGGUGAUCGGCCACACUGGAACUGAGACGCGGUCCAGACUCCUACGGGAGGCAGCAGUAGGGAAUCUUCCGCAAUGGGCGAAAGCCUGACGGAGCAACGCCGCGUGAGUGAUGAAGGUCUUCGGAUCGUAAAACUCUGUUAUUAGGGAAGAACAUAUGUGUAAGUAACUGUGCACAUCUUGACGGUACCUAAUCAGAAAGCCACGGCUAACUACGUG